CCUACGGGAGGCAGCAGUGGGGAAUAUUGCACAAUGGGCGCAAGCCUGAUGCAGCAACGCCGCGUGAGGGACGACGGCCUUCGGGUUGUAAACCUCUUUUAGUAGGGAAGAAGCGAAAGUGACGGUACCUGCAGAAAAAGCACCGGCUAACUACGUGCCAGCAGCCGCGGUAAUACGUAGGGUGCAAGCGUUGUCCGGAAUUAUUGGGCGUAAAGAGCUCGUAGGCGGUUUGUCGCGUCUGCUGUGAAAACCCGAGGCUCAACCUCGGGCCUGCAGUGGGUACGGGCAGACUAGAGUGCGGUAGGGGAGAUUGGAAUUCCUGGUGUAGCGGUGGAAUGCGCAGAUAUCAGGAGGAACACCGAUGGCGAAGGCAGAUCUCUGGGCCGUAACUGACGCUGAGGAGCGAAAGCAUGGGGANCGAACAGGAUUAGAUACCCUGGUAGUCCAUGCGUAACGUAGGUACGUAGAUAGUAGGACGACUACUACGUUCGUGUGUCG
rnacentral:rRNA from 1 species